rnacentral:rRNA from 1 species
GCAUAAGCGCACGGGAUUGCAUGAUCCAGUGUGAAAAACUCCGGUGGUAUGAGAUGGACCCGCGUUGGAUUAGCCAGUUGGCAGGGUAACGGCCUACCAAAGCGACGAUCCAUAGCCGGCCUGAGAGGGUGGACGGCCACAUUGGGACUGAGACACGGCCCAGACUCCUACGGGAGGCAGCAGUGGGGAAUAUUGCACAAUGGGGGAAACCCUGAUGCAGCGACGCCGCGUGAAGGAAGAAGUAUCUCGGUAUGUAAACUUCUAUCUGCAGGGAAGAAAAUGACGGUACCUGACUAAGAAGCCCCGGCUAACUACGUGCCAGCAGCCGCGGUAAUACGUAGGGGGCAAGCGUUAUCCGGAUUUACUGGGUGUAAAGGGAGCGUAGACGGAGCAGCAAGUCUGAUGUGAAAGGCAGGGGCUCAACCCCUGGACUGCAUUGGAAACUGUUGAUCUUGAGUACCGGAGAGGUAAGCGGAAUUCCUAGUGUAGCGGUGAAAUGCGUAGAUAUUAGGAGGAACACCAGUGGCGAAGGC